GGGUGCUUAGGAUCUUUCUUUUCUAAGCAUUAAUUAAUUUUUAUGUAAGGGAUAGAAAGAGAAAAGCCCCGAAAUGAUAUUAAAUCAAUCCGAGGCGUCCCUUAUGCUUUGCAACGUAAAGGUAGCGCCUCACAUGCUGAAAAGCAAGGAAAAGGAGGUCGUUAUG
rnacentral:antisense_RNA from 1 species